UACGUAGGGGGCAAGCGUUGUCCGGAUUUAUUGGGCGUAAAGAGCGUGUAGGCGGCUUUACAGGUCCGCUGUGAAAACUCGAGGCUCAACCUCGAGCUGUCGGUGGAAACCGUGUGGCUAGAGUCCGGAAGAGGAGAGUGGAAUUCCCGGUGUAGCGGUGAAAUGCGCAGAUAUCGGGAAGAACACCCGUGGCGAAGGCGGUUCUCUGGGACGGUACUGACGCUGAGACGCGAAAGCGUGGGGAGCGAACAGG
rnacentral:rRNA from 1 species